rnacentral:rRNA from 1 species
GAUGAACGCUGGCGGCGUGCCUAAUACAUGCAAGUCGAGCGAAUGGAUUAAGAGCUUGCUCUUAUGAAGUUAGCGGCGGACGGGUGAGUAACACGUGGGUAACCUGCCCAUAAGACUGGGAUAACUCCGGGAAACCGGGGCUAAUACCGGAUAACAUUUUGAACCGCAUGGUUCGAAAUUGAAAGGCGGCUUCGGCUGUCACUUAUGGAUGGACACGCGUCGCAUUAGCUAGUUGGUGAGGUAACGGCUCACCAAGGCAACGAUGCGUAGCCGUCCUGAGAGGGUCAGCGGCCACGCUGGGACUGAGACACGGCCCAGACUCCUACGGGAGGAAGCAGUAGGGAAUCUUCCGCAAUGGACGAAAGUCUGACGGAGCAACGCCGCGUGAGUGAUGAAGGCUUUCGGGUCGUAAAACUCUGUUGUUAGGGAAGAACAAGUGCUAGUUGAAUAAGCUGGCACCUUGACGGUACCUAACCAGAAAGCCACGGCUAACUACGUGCCAGCCGCCGCAGUAA